UACCAGAGUCAGCUGCUGCAGAGACUUGUCUUUACUGCAGCUACUGUUUUAAAAGUCCCCCCUUUUUUCUUCUAAGUUCUCCGGAGAACAAUGCAUUGUGUCUAGUUCUUUUUAUGGGAUGCCGCCAUAGCUUUUCCAAGAACAUUGGGAGGAAAAGAAAAGCAUGAAUCAUCAGCCAAUUAGACUGGCCAAAAUAUCUGAAGGGCAUGGAUUGGGCCACUGCUACCUGUCCAAGAAGCUGCGUAGGUAGACUGUUGCUUUUAAAAGAUCCAUUUGCAGUUUACUUAACAAUUGAUCAGUGGAGCAAACACAACAUUCAGUUUGUUAUAGAAGGCCUGGAUUUGUUUCUCUUCUUGGAAAUUUCUGCUUCUUUCAGUUAUAUCUACCUAGAAUGAAUUUGUUCUGGUAGAAAUAAAUGUUCAUCCUCCA